CGUAAGAUUCACCCUCGAUAAAAACACAAAAUACGAAAGGGACAAGCUCGUUCGUUCCCUCUGAUCUCACUUCCUUUUUUCUUUUUUUCUCGAAAAGACGCGUUACGUUAGGGGAUGAAAGACAAAGAAGGGAAGUUACAAGGGUUAGAAGGAGACAAAAAAAAAUAAAGAAAUAGAGAGAGAUAGAGAGAGUGAACGAACGUCGGUCGAUCAUCCAUCCGUCUCGUCGGUUUUAUAUAUAUAUAUAUAUAUAUCGUCGUUUCCACGCGCUUAACAAAUACGAUGCUAUUGAAAAGUUUCGUUUCGUUCGAGAGUAUCGUUAUGACAAGGACAACAAUAAUAACACGCAUGAUUACGAUUACGUCGAAAGUGUACGAGAAACGGAAACGAUGAAAAUCGUCGUAUAUUAAAAAAAGAAUCUUUAUUAAAGAUAAAUAAAUAAAUAAAUAAAUAAAUCAAUGGAAAAUAAUUCGAUAUAAAAGAUAUAAAUAAAUUUCAUUAGAAAAAUAUCAUUCACAUUGGAAGGUAG
rnacentral:lncRNA from 1 species